UACGUAGGGGGCAAGCGUUGUCCGGAUUUAUUGGGCGUAAAGAGCGUGUAGGCGGCCAAACAGGUCCACUGUGAAAACUCGAGGCUCAACCUCGAGAGGUCGGUGGAAACCGUCUGGCUAGAGUCCGGAAGAGGAGAGUGGAAUUCCCGGUGUAGCGGUGAAUGCGCAGAUAUCGGGAAGAACACCCGUGGCGAAGGCGGCUCUCUGGGACGGUACUGACGCUGAGACGCGAAAGCGUGGGGAGCGAACAGG
rnacentral:rRNA from 1 species